rnacentral:RNase_P_RNA from 1 species
GGGGUCGGGCGUGAUGAUCGCGGGGGGUCUUCGGACCGCUCGAGGAAAGUCCGAGCUCCACAGGGCAGACCGCCAGGUAACGCCUGGGCGCCGAAAGGCGAUGGACAGGGCCACAGAAAACAAACCGCCCUGGGGGGAACCCCGGGGUAAGGGUGAAACGGUGGGGUAAGAGCCCACCGCGCGCGCCGGUAACGGCCGCGGCACGGUAACCCCCGGUCGGAGCAAGGCCAAAUAGGCGACGAGGUGCGGCCCGCACCGUCUGAGUCGCGGGUAGGCUGCUUGAGGCGGUCGGUGACGACCGUCCCAGACAGAUGAUCAUCCCCGGCAACGGGAACAGAACUCGGCUUACGGCCCAACCCCAACG